AUGACUAAAGCGUUCACCGUGAAGGCGGUGGGACAGAGUUUUCAGUUACAGUCGACAUCGAAAUCAGUAGAAACUGGAAGCGAAGAAAUUAACCCAAUUCAAGGAGAAAUAGAGGAGCAAUGGUUCAGAGGAAGCAAAGCAGAGUUUCUUCUGGCUGUGGCAGGAAAUGUGGUUGGAGUGGGCAACGUGUGGAGGUUUUCCUUACCUCUGCUACAGGAAUGGAGGAUGGGCGUUCCUGAUACCCUAUCUGAUGUUUGUGGUGACCUGUGGGGUUCCUCUGUUCCUGCUGGAGACAGCUAUGGGACAGUUUACACAGCAAGGGGCCAUUACAUGCUGGCAUCAUCUCUGUCCACUAGCUGGGCGUAUUGGAUAUGCAGGACAGCUAAAAGUGGUGUACGGCUGUAUGUAUUACAUCAUCAUUCUGGCCUGGGCACUUUUCUACCUCAUCUACUGCUUCAGCUCACAACUGCCAUGGGCCAGCUGUGACAACAUCUGGAACACAGAGGGAAAACAGAGGAAAACCACACAGACACGGGAAGAACAUGCAAUCUCAGCACAGAAAGGCCUUCUGAUCCAGCUGGGACUCAAACCAGCAACCUUCUUGCUUCUUGCUGUGCUAUCCUAA